rnacentral:rRNA from 1 species
UAGCUAGUUGGUGGGGUAAGGGCCUACCAAGGCGACGAUCGGUAGCUGGUCUGAGAGGAUGACCAGCCACACUGGAANUGAGACACGGUCCAGACUCCUACGGGAGGCAGCAGUGGGGAAUAUUGGACAAUGGGGGCAACCCUGAUCCAGCAAUGCCGCGUGCGUGAAGAAGGCCUGAGGGUUGUAAAGCACUUUCAGUGGGGAGGAGGGUUGAUAGGUUAAGAGCUAAUUAACUGGACGUUACCCACAGAAGAAGCACCGGCUAACUCCGUGCCAGCAGCCGCGGUAAUACGGAGGGUGCGAGCGUUAAUCGGAAUUACUGGGCGUAAAGGGUGCGUAGGUGGUUGAUUAAGUUAUCUGUGAAAUUCCUGGGCUUAACCUGGGACGGUCAGAUAAUACUGGUUGACUCGAGUAUGGGAGAGGGUAGUGGAAUUUCCGGUGUAGCGGUGAAAUGCGUAGAGAUCGGAAGGAACACCAGUGGCGAAGGCGGCUACCUGGCCUAAUACUGACACUGAGGCACGAAAGCGUGGGGAGCAAACAGGAUUAGAUACCCUGGUAGUCCACGCUGUAAACGAUGUCAACUAGCUGUUGGUUAUAUGAAAAUAAUUAGUGGCGC